UUCAUAGAGAAGACAGUUGGUGCCAGCCGGUUUUGUUAAGACCAGACUGGUUAAAAGGGAAACAGGUGUGAUUCCUGUACGAUCUCGUCACUGUGAUAAGGGAGUGCAGAUUCUUUUUCCGCAUGGAAAGCCACUGGUGCAUGGCACUGGGAAGGCAGAAUCUGUAUGAGGAUCUUUCAGCCAGGAAACCUGCCAAUCGUCUGGUACAGGGA
rnacentral:ncRNA from 19 species